rnacentral:lncRNA from 1 species
AACAAAACCCCAAAGCUGCAUAGAUAUAAAGCCCCAAAUAUAUAAUUGAGAACACUAAACAAUUCAUGUGUAGACUGGCUACACCAGUAUCAUUAAAUACUCAGUAAGAUGAGGCAGCAACUUUGAUCAUUGGCUAUCUGUUGUCUUCUACGACAAUGGUUCUUCUAGGAUAGGAAUCAACAUCCACAAAUAUGUAACGGACAUCAAAUCUUCCUCUCUCGGGAUUCUCUUUUACUUCCACAUGGAC